GUCAGGGACGUCAGGGUGUGGAGAAAUGAGACUAUUAACCUAACCUAAUUUCCCUACUAGGAGCCUUCGCUAGUAGGGGUACCCUGAGGGGGUAUAACUUACAGAAGGUUUAAAAUUUGCCCUCGACGUCCUUAAUUUUGUGU
rnacentral:telomerase_RNA from 1 species